AUUGAACGCUGGCGGCAUGAUUUACACAUGCAAGUCGAACGGUAACAGGCCGCAAGGUGCUGACGAGUGGCGAACGGGUGGGUAAUGCAUCGGAACGUGCCCAGUCGUGGGGGAUAACUACUCGAAAGAGUAGCUAAUACCGCAUACGAUCUAUGGAUGAAAGCGGGGGACCGUAAGGCCUCGCGCGAUUGGAGCGGCCGAUGUCAGAUUAGGUAGUUGGUGGGGUAAAGGCUCACCAAGCCAACGAUCUGUAGCUGGUCUGAGAGGACGACCAGCCACACUGGGACUGAGACACGGCCCAGACUCCUACGGGAGGCAGCAGUGGGGAAUUUUGGACAAUGGGCGCAAGCCUGAUCCAGCAAUGCCGCGUGCAGGAAGAAGGCCUUCGGGUUGUAAACUGCUUUUGUACGGAACGAAACGGCUCUGGUUAAUACCCGGGGCUAAUGACGGUACCGUAAGAAUAAGCACCGGCUAACUACGUG
rnacentral:rRNA from 1 species